UACGGAGGGUGCAAGCGUUAUCCGGAUUCACUGGGUUUAAAGGGUGCGUAGGAGGGCAGGUAAGUCAGUGGUGAAAUCUCCAGGCUUAACUUGGAAACUGCCGUUGAUACUAUCUGUCUUGAAUAUUGUGGAGGUGAGCGGAAUAUGUCAUGUAGCGGUGAAAUGCUUAGAUAUGACAUAGAACACCAAUUGCGAAGGCAGCUCACUACUCAAUCAUUGACUCUGAGGCACGAAAGCGUGGGGAUCAAACAGG
rnacentral:rRNA from 1 species